rnacentral:rRNA from 1 species
UACGGGGGGGGCAAGCGUUGUUCGGAAUUACUGGGCGUAAAGGGUUCGUAGGCGGCUCGCUAAGUCAGACGUGAAAUCCCUCAGCUUAACUGGGGAACUGCGUCUGAGACUGGCAAGCUCGAGUGCAGGAGAGGAACGCGGAAUUCCAGGUGUAGCGGUGAAAUGCGUAGAUAUCUGGAGGAACACCGGUGGCGAAGGCGGCGUUCUGGACUGCAACUGACACUGAGGAACGAAAGCCAGGGGAGCAAACGGG